UACGGAGGGGGCUAGCGUUGUUCGGAAUUACUGGGCGUAAAGCGCGCGCAGGCGGCUAUCCAAGUCAGUGGUGAAAGCCCGGAGCUCAACUCCGGAACUGCCAUUGAAACUGUUUAGCUUGAGGAUGAGAGAGGUGAGUGGAAUUCCCAGUGUAGAGGUGAAAUUCGUAGAUAUUGGGAAGAACACCGGUGGCGAAGGCGGCUCACUGGCUCAUUACUGACGCUCAGGCACGAAAGCGUGGGUAGCAAACAGG
rnacentral:rRNA from 1 species